GAGACCGAUAGCGAACAAGUAGAGUGAUCGAAAGGUUAAAAGCACCUUGAAAAGGGAGUUAAACAGCACGUGAAAUUGUUGAAAGGGAAGCGCUUGCGGCCAGACUCGGGGGCGGGGUUCAGCGGGUGCUCGUCGCCCGUGUAUUCCUCGUCUCCCGGGCCAGCAUCAGUUUCGACGGCCGGUCAAAGGCCCCCGGAAUGUGUCGUCUCUCGGGACGUCUUAUAGCCGGGGGUGCAAUGCGGCCCGUCGGGACUGAGGAACGCGCUCCGGCUCGGAUGCUGGCGUAAUGGCCGUAAGCGGCCCGUCUUGAAACACGGACC
rnacentral:rRNA from 1 species